UGAUGCAAGAAUAUUAAAAGAACCACAACAAAACCACAGAGACCCAAGGAGAUGGAGCAGCCCGAGCUCCCCAGCUGUGAGGUCUCAACAGCACUGAGGAGGCAAACUCCAACCAGAGUUGUUCCAGGUGAAAACCUUUCCUCAGACGAGUGGUGCAAAACAUGGCACAGAUUGGAGCUGCUGGCUGUCAGAAAGGGAUUUGUCCUUUCCUGAUCACCUCCAAGUCCUUCAGCACAUCUGUUCCAGUUUGAAGCAGUCAUUCUUGGACACGGGGGAGCAGAGGCACACACACUUCUGUGCCAGUGCGUCUCUUUGGCUAUGAAGGUAGCAUUGCUUAUGGAAAGGAUCCACCUCAACUCGUCUCCUCACCGUGGGUUCUGCUGGGUGGCAAAAGGAACGGAUACCAAUGGAACACAACAGGACGCAGGACUGAAAAGGUUCUGUACGCUCCAUCUGAAGCUGCAAAACUCUUCCAGAUUCCUUCUGUGCUGAACUCCUGCUUUCCCUGCAGCCUCCCUCCUCGUGUCCUCCCUCCCUCUUUUCUUUUUUUCCCCUUUUAACAUUAUUACAUGCUCAAAUCCAACCAGCUCAAAUACUUUUUAAUACACUGAAAAUGUAAAAUAAAGAAUAUAUG
ensembl:lncRNA